rnacentral:rRNA from 1 species
UACGGAGGGUGCAAGCGUUAAUCGGAAUUACUGGGCGUAAAGCGCACGCAGGUGGCUGAGUCAGUCGAUUGUGAAAGCCCUGGGCUUAACCUGGGAAUUGCAGUCGAUACUACUCAGCUAGAGUAUGGGAGAGGGCAGUGGAAUUCCCGGUGUAGUGGUGGAAUGCGUAGAUAUCGGGAGGAACACCAGUGGCGAAGGCGGUUGCCUGGGGCUUUGCUGACGCUGAGGCGCGAAAGCGUGGGGAGCAAACAGG